rnacentral:rRNA from 1 species
AGGACCCCGAACCCGCACCACUCUGCUCGAUUCCCUUCCCUACUCGACGGCGCCGACGAUUAGAGUGGCCGCCGCAGCCCCUCACGGCGCCGGAGGUCACCGGCGCAACCCCGACGAGUCUUCCUCGUCCGAAGAAGACGCGAUGACGACGGGGUCUGGGCGAGCACCCUCUGGCGCGACGCUAGCGAGGCCGAGGCUCUCCGGAGCCCACGAACCGCGGCGACGGCUGGGGCGGCGGUCGAUGGCGGUGACGACACGCCCGAAGAGACGCCCAAAGCGCCGUGUCACGCGGCUGCUCGAGCCCGCUGCCGUCUCCCGCUGAAUCGGGGCGUUGGCGUUGACGCCCUCCAUGCCGGCUCCAAGGCGGACGACUUCGGAGGCGCCGGUCGGCGCGGAGACGAAGGCGAGCGCCUCCUCCUCGUUCACGAUGGCGCGCAUCGGCACAGGUAUGUAUCCGGGCGGGCCGGCGGUCUCGGCGGCGGGCGUUGGCGUCCACGGCGUGAGCCACGCGGCCCACGGAGGAGAGGUGGUGGAGGCGGAGACCCAGGGGGUGGUGCAGGCGCGGCUGCAGCCCCAUGCACCAUGGAGGCGCUCGGGCCGGCCACUAACCAGGGGUCGAACCCCAUGGGCGCCUGGCCACGGGCGCAGGGAGCACCGUUGUGGGCGCGUCCAGGGGCGAGGAGAGCACCGCGGGGGGCGCGUCCAGCGGCACGGUGGCAGCCAGGAGCACCACGCCAAGUGGCGCGGUGGCGGCCAGGAGCACCACGUCCAGCAGCGCGGUGGCGGCCAAAUCGACGGAUGGCUUGCAUCCGGCGACGGAAACGCUGGAGUCCACCCACUCCAUGGUAGCGACGACGGUAUCGACGACCAUCCUCGCGGAUCAGGCGGAGAAAAAAGGAAACGAGGUUACAUGCCCCUUUAUAUGUCCCGAAGAGACACGACGAUCCCUCGAGCGGGCGUCGGUUCUACGAGAGCGAAGGGAGGCAUCGGUUGCGGGACAAACCGCAACGACGGUUUUGGGCAAGGGGAGAUUUCCCCCUAAUUACAGAAUUAUUUUUAACAAAUAGCAUGCAAGCAUAUGGGUAAAAAUGGAUAUGCAAAUGGACAUGCAAGCAUAAGG